rnacentral:misc_RNA from 1 species
GCUGCACCAGGGCCGGAAGAAGAAGAUCCAGAGCCCAAACCUGAAACAGCAGGUCCAUAUCGGUUAAGACCCAUUUUGUGCCGGAAGAGGAUGGAGUAGUCAUGCUUUUCGAGCUUAUUCAGGUCCAAAAGUUGGUCGGCGAUCCGCUCCAACUUCUGCGUUCGGGUUUCUGUAGCUGUGCAUAGAGUGUAAGCUAUUGAUGGGGCACGGAUCCGGGAAAAGAGUCUUGUCAAUGAGAUUUUCGAAACUAGAGAUGCCAUUUUCAGUAAUUGCAGAGACUUUGUAUUAGGGUUUUAGAGAAGUGGGAAG